rnacentral:rRNA from 1 species
AUGGCGGGGGAACGGUGGUACGACGGUCUUCAUAAAGGGUACGACAAAGAGCAUCGUGCGCGGGACAUUGAGAAUAAUGGGGAACUAACACCUAUGCGCAUGAGGGGUCAUAGUGCCCACGACUGGCCGUGCGACGAGCGGUAUGAGACAUACUUCGAGAGAUUGGGCCUUCUCCCGUUCGUGCUUCAGUUCAAGCGACACGCUCCGUCGAUCAACCAUGGGGCAAUGACCGCACUUAUUGACCGUUGGAGGCCAGAGACACACUCAUUCCACUUGUCAUGUGGAGAGAUGACCGUGACCUUGGAGGACAUGGCGAUGAUCAGUGGCCUUCCAAUCAAUGGCGUCGUCGUCUUGUCUUGCAACAGGAACAACAAGAGGAGCAACUGCAAGAAGAGCCAGAGCAAGAGGAGGCACAGCAAGAUGAAGAGGAGUACAAUCAAGAUGAAGAGGAGGUGCUUGGGAUGUCCCAAAUGGAUGAUGCGCCUGAGCCAUCACAGCCCACACAACGCACGCCGCGCAGCAAAAGAGGAAGGAAGAAGUGAAUUAGUUAAUACUAGAUUCUCGCGAACUUUGUUAUGUUUGAUUCGUGAACUUUAG